rnacentral:misc_RNA from 1 species
AAAAGUCGUAACAAGGUCUCCGUAGGUGAACCUGCGGAGGGAUCAUUACUGAGUUAUUACAACUCCAACCCAUGUGAACUUACCACUGUUGCCUCGGCGCAGAGGCCUGCCGAGACUCGUUUCUCGGUGGGUGGACGCGCCGGUGGACUACUAAACUCUUGUUAAUUUUGGUAUUCUGAAUCAAAAAACUUAAUAAGUUAAAACUUUCAACAACGGAUCUCUUGGUUCUGG